rnacentral:tRNA from 1 species
GCCGAGGUAGCUCAGUUGGUAGAGCACUUCACUGAAAAUGAAGGGGUCCCCAGUUCAAGUCUGGGCCUCGGCA